rnacentral:rRNA from 1 species
UACGUAGGGUGCGAGCGUUGUCCGGAAUUACUGGGCGUAAAGAGCUCGUAGGUGGUUUGUCGCGUUUGUUCGUGAAAACCGGGGGCUUAACCCUCGGCGUGCGGGCGAUACGGGCAGACUUGAGUACUGCAGGGGAGACUGGAAUUCCUGGUGUAGCGGUGGAAUGCGCAGAUAUCAGGAGGAACACCGGUGGCGAAGGCGGGUCUCUGGGCAGUAACUGACGCUGAGGAGCGAAAGCGUGGGGGAGCGAACAGG